AUGGGCAUCGCAUUGGAACGGGCUCAGCCCUUAGGGUCGGGCGACCCGGCACCCACAACUGUGACCCGGCUUCUUCCCAUUCCAGCGGGACUGGCCAGCACCACAUCGGGCCAACUGUUUGUGGUCUUGUGGAUGAUCUAAGUUGGGAUGUAAAACCGAACACUAUCAGUUUUGUUAUUUCUCGAUUUCAUUCUCAUUUCAAAUUAAUUCCACAAAAAAUCAAAUUGUGGAGUAGUUUGGAUUCCAUCUGUAUUUAUCGGAAAAAUUGUCGUCACCAUAAAGCUAUGUCGUAGCACAUGCCGCUGCCGCUGCCUCUCGCUCGUCUAACCUUCAAUCAGUUGACAAACAACACUUUUAGCAAGGCCAAAGGACUGUCUUUGUCAAUGGUCACUGCUUCUUCCGGUGGCGGCGGCGCAUUCACCACGCUCAAAGAGAGAGUCUCUUUUGACAAAGAAAUCAAGAAAAGCAAAUUCAUCGCCAUCGCCGCCCCUAUCUCUGAUGAGCGCUCCGCUUUCUCCUUUCUUUCCGAGGUUCGUGAAUCCCGUGCCACUCACAAUUGCUGGGCUUACAAGAUUGGAGAUCAGUUUCGGAGUUAUGAUGACGGUGAACCAUCCGGAACAGCAGGCAAGCCAAUACAAUCGGCAAUUGAGUCUUCGGGGAUAGAUAGAGUUAUGGUGGUUGUUAUCAGGUACUUUGGAGGAAUCAAACUUGGCACUGGUGGACUGGUUAGAGCUUACGGAGGUGUAGCUGCAGAAUGCUUAAAAAACGGCCAAACUUGUCUUGUGAAAUCCAAAGUUCCUAUGGGUUUGGAGGUCACAUUUGAUCUUUUGGGAGUUCUAUACCACCAACUUCAGUCUUUUCAAGCUGAGGACAUCAAGCAGGAUUACGAUACUGGAAAAGAUAACGUUACAAUGGUCACUUUCAAAGUUGAUUUUGAUAAGGUAGAAAGUCUGGAAGAAGCUCUAAAGUCUAAUUGUAGCCGUGAUAUUGUGUUCUACCGGCGCUGAAGCCUACUUCCUCUCCUCACAUUAACUGAAGAUCAUUCAGUUUAAGUAAAAAAAUAUUUUCUGGACAAGCACUAUACAUUUCCAUUUUUGCCUCAACUAUGAAGAAACGGAGGGAGUACUUGAAAGGAUCAGAUGAAUAACGCAGUAUUAGAUGUCUGCAUUAGGUGGCACGCAGCCCAGCUUGCAUCGAGAGGCUUGAGAGUGGGACCUCCAUGGCCAAAGAGACAAGAAGGUGAGUGUUGCAGGCUACCAUUGAUGAAUAGCUCUGAGUUGUGAUACUGAUGAGAUUAGAAUAUUGAUUUGAGGAUUUGUGUCUAACAUUUAAAGAGGCCAAAUUGACAGAGGCUGUUGGGGUAGCUUCCAUUCAUGAAAUAGACUUGUUUACAACAUUGGUGGUUUUUGUCUUGUGAAAGAAAUGUGAUGGUGUGGAGAUCAUCGGUACUUGAUUA